UUAAGAAGUGACCACUCCACUCCACUGCGAUUGUCAACUCUCUCCUGACAUGAACUGAAGCCACGUCUCAUGUUCCCACUCAUCCACUGUUACAUUUAAUGAUUCUUCUCCAACCACUUCAAAUCCUGUCCCGCACAGAAGUCAAGUCACUGAAAACCUCAAUUCAUGCCUUAUACCCUCAUUCAAUCACUGCUGUGAUCCCUUCCCAAAACGGUGUAUGUAGCCCUCUCAUUCUCAUUCCCCAUAAUAUUGUACAAUAAAUGUCUUUACUAAA